rnacentral:ncRNA from 1 species
CCUCCGGGCUCCCCGCACAGGAGCGCGGAUCGAGGCGAGGCGUUCUCUGCCCUGACUACGCCGCUGCCUCGCUGUCGGCCCUAACGGGUCCGCGGGGACCGCACACCCCGCCGGCCACGGCGCCGACGUCAGCUCCGGGCUGCGGUGCGGGUGAGGCUGAGGGUCCUCUCCUGGCAC